UUCAAUAUCUUUGGUUGUGACGUAAAAAUCUUAGGUUAGAACUCUGCCCUUUUAGAACAUGGAUUAAACAUAGUAGUGUUUAAUAUCACGAGGAUAAUCUUCAUUAACACUACUUUAACAAGAUUUAAAAGGUAGCCACAAUGUCGACUUUGGAAUAUUCGAAAGCACUCGUUGCACACGGAAGAUCUUCAUGGAAAAACGUCCACAACUGUAAAUUGUGCCCCCAUUUUACAACAUCAAUUUUGUCUAUGGUGAACCACGUGAGGCGACAUCGCUCCUCUCUGGAAAAAUUUACAUGCUCCGAAGCCAAAAUCGAAGCGUAUUAUUGUAAAGACUGCGAUUUUAAAACGGAUCUAACGAUUCUGUUCAAACAACACAUUAACAAACAUCACGGCCUUAAGAGUGAAUCUAGAGAAGUUUUGUCAAUCGAGGACUUCAGCAUCCAAAACUACGUUUGCGAAAAAUGCGCCUUCGAAACAAAUUCCUUGAUAAAUUGGCUUCAACAUACUUCAGAAUGCUCAGAAAGGAAAGAAAAUGUUCAAAGUCUGAGUUCUCUGAGCGAGAAUGUCACGUACGAAAAAAAUGGUGAAUGGCACAAGUGCGAAAAAUGUCCUUUCAAAACUAAAUUGAAAAUAUGUUUUAAAAACCACAUGAAAAACAUCCACGCGCGGGCAGAAGACGUUAAAUGGCACGAAUGCACGAAAUGUCCAUUCAGAUCUAAGUAUAAGGAAUCUUUAAAGAGUCACUUCAAUUUCAAACAUGCAGACGAAGAAAAAAUUAAAUGGCACGAAUGCGAAAAGUGCCCGUUCAAAACUAAACAUCACUCGACUUUAAAUUAUCACGUGAUUAAUCAACAUUUGAGUAAAGAAGAAGUUAAGUGGUUUGAAUGUACCAACUGUUCAUAUAAAAGUAAAAGAAAAAAUAAUUUAAAACUGCAUAUAACUGUUCGCCAUUCAGAUACCAAAUCACUUCAACAUUCCGAUUGUAAGCGGUACAAAUGUGGACGGAAUGGUUAAUGGCACAAGUGCGAAAAAUGUCCUUUCAAAACUGGAUCAAAAAAGAAUUUAAAAAGACACAUGAAAAACUUACACUCACGGGCAGAAGACGUCAAAUGGUACGAAUGCAAGGAGUGUCCAUUCAAAUCUAAGUAUAAAGAAUCUUUAAAGAACCACUUCAAUGCGAAACAUGUAGAGGGAGAAAAAAUUGUAUGGCACGAAUGCGAAAAGUGCCCGUUCAAAACCAAGCAUCGCUCGACUUUAACUUAUCACGUGAUUAAUCAACAUUUGAGUGAAGAAGAAGUUAAGUGGUACGAAUGUGGGAACUGUUCGUAUAAAACUAAAAGAAAAACUCAUUUAAAACUGCAUAUAGCUGUUCGCCAUUCAGAUAUCAAAUCAUUUCAGUCCCAAUAUUAAGACAAUGAAUGGUACGAAUGUGAAAAUUGUGCAUUUAAAACCAAAAAUAAAUAUACUUAAAAAAAAACACA